rnacentral:rRNA from 1 species
CCAUACAAGAGACCCAAAUUAACUGUCCACCCGGCGUAAAGAGUGGCAAGAUGUUAUCCCACCAGCUAGGAUCAAAAUGCGACUAAGCUGUCAUAAGCUCAAGACGCACCCAAACCCACCCCCUAAAGAUCCUAGCACUCACGAUCAAUUUCAACCCACGAAAGCUAGGGCACAAACUGGGAUUAGAUACCCCACUAUGCCUAGCCCUAAAUCUAGAUACUUCCUUCACCAAAGUAUUCGCCCGAGGACUACGAGCACAAACGCUUAAAACUCUAAGGACUUGGCGGUGUCCCAAACCCACCUAGAGGAGCCUGUUCUAUAACCGAUAACCCACGAUGCACCCAACCACCCCUCGCCAACACAGCCUACAUACCGCCGUCGCCAGCUCACCUCCCUUGAGAGCCCCACAGUGAGCCCAAUAGCCCUCUUUCCACUAGCAAGACAGGUCAAGGUAUAGCCCAUGGGGUGGAAGAAAUGGGCUACAUUUCCUAGAAUAGAACACACGGAAUAGGGGCGUGAAACCGCCCCUAGAAGGAGGAUUUAGCAGUAAAGCUGAACAAUAGAGUCAGCUUUAAACCGGCUCUGGGGCACGUACAUACCGCCCGUCACCCUCUUCACAGGCCUGCCUACCCACAUAAAUAAUCAACCCCACAAUAAGCCAAAGACGAGGUAAGUCGUAACAA